AUUGAACGCUGGCGGCAUGCCCUACACAUGCAAGUCGAACGGCAGCACGGGGGCAACCCUGGUGGCGAGUGGCGAACGGGUGAGUAAUGCAUCGGAACGUGCCCAGUAGUGGGGGAUAACCCGGCGAAAGCCGGGCUAAUACCGCAUACGACCUAAGGGUGAAAGCGGGGGACCGUAAGGCCUCGCGCUAUUGGAGCGGCCGAUGUCUGAUUAGCUAGUUGGUGGGGUAAAGGCCCACCAAGGCGACGAUCGGGAGCUGGUCUGAGAGGACGACCAGCAGCACUGGGACUGAGACACGGCCCAGACUCCUACGGGAGGCAGGAGUGGGGAAUUUUGGACAAUGGGCGCAAGCCUGAUCCAGCCAUGCCGCGUGAAGGAAGAAGGCCUUCGGGUUGUAAACUGCUUUUGUCAGGGAAGAAAUCCCUUGGGUUAAUACCUCGGGGGGAUGACGGUACCUGAAGAAUAAGCACCGGCUAACUACGUGCCAGCAGCCGCCGUAAUAC
rnacentral:rRNA from 1 species